rnacentral:rRNA from 1 species
CUACGGGACGCUGCAGUGGGGAAUAUUGCACAAUGGGCGCAAGCCUGAUGCAGCAACGCCGCGUGAGGGAUGAAGGCCUUCGGGUUGUAAACCUCUUUUAGCAGGGAAGAAGCGAAAGUGACGGUACCUGCAGAAAAAGCACCGGCUAACUACGUGCCAGCAGCCGCGGUAAUACGUAGGGUGCAAGCGUUGUCCGGAAUUAUUGGGCGUAAAGAGCUCGUAGGCGGUUUGUGCACGUCUGCUGUGAAAAUCCAAGGCUCAACCUUGGACUUGCAGUGGGUACGGGCAGGCUAGAGUGCGGUAGGGGAGAUGGGAAUUCCUGGUGUAGCGGUGGAAUGCGCAGAUAUCAGGAGGAACACCAAUGGCGAAGGCACAUCUCUGGGCCGUAACUGACGCUGAGGAGCGAAAGCGUGGGGAGCGAACAGGAUUAGAUACCCCAGUAGUC